CCCUUAGAUGUCCUGGGCUGCACGCGCGCUACACUGAUGUGUCCAGUAAGCACCUAACCUAUUCCGAGAGGAGCGGGUAACCUUAGCAAAGCACAUCGUGAUGGGGAUAGAUUAUUGCAAUUAUUAGUCUUGAACGAGGAAUUCCUAGUAAGCGCGAGUCAUCAGCUCGCGUUGAUUACGUCCCUGCCCUUUGUACACACCGCCCGUCGCUACUACCGAUUGAAUGGUUUAGUGAGGACUCCUGAUUGGCGCCGCCGCCCCGGCAACGGAGCAGCGGACUGCCGAAAAGUUGUUCAAACUUGAUCAUUUAGAGGAAGUAAAAGUCGUAACA
rnacentral:rRNA from 1 species